AUACGUAGGGGGCGAGCGUUGUCCGGAAUUAUUGGGCGUAAAGCGCGCGCAGGCGGUCCUUUAAGUCUGGUGUUUAAGCGCGGGGCUCAACCCCGUAGAUGCACUGGAAACUGGGGGACUUGAGUGCGGGAGAGGAAAGCGGAAUUCCCGGUGUAGCGGUGAAAUGCGUAGAGAUCGGGAGGAACACCAGUGGCGAAGGCGGCUUUCUGGACCGUAACUGACGCUGAGGCGCGAAAGCGUGGGGAGCAAACAGGAUUAGAUACCCUGGUAGUCCACGCCGUAAACGAUGAGUGCCAGGUGUUGCGGGGGUUUACCCUGCGGUGCCGAAGGAAACCCAAUAAGCACUCCGCCUGGGGAGUACGGCCGCAAGGCUGAA
rnacentral:rRNA from 1 species